rnacentral:rRNA from 1 species
UACGGGGGGGGCAAGCGUUGUUCGGAAUUACUGGGCGUAAAGGGCUCGUAGGCGGCCAACUCAGUCGGACGUGAAAUCCCUCGGCUUAACCGGGGAACUGCGUCCGAUACUGGAUGGCUUGAGUGUGGGAGAGGGAUGCGGAAUUCCAGGUGUAGCGGUGAAAUGCGUAGAUAUCUGGAGGAACACCGGUGGCGAAGGCGGCAUCCUGGACUACUACUGACGCUGAGGAGCGAAAGCCAGGGGAGCAAAGCGGG